UUGAGGGAGCGCGAAGUUUGGGACUGGUGAAGAAUGAUUUUCCGGUCCCCCCUUUCGCGCAUCUUCAGCU